UACGAAGGGGGCUAGCGUUGUUCGGAAUCACUGGGCGUAAAGCGCACGCAGGCGGAUCGUUAAGUCAGGGGUGAAAUGCCGAGGCUCAGCCUCGGAACUGCCUUUGAUACUGGCGAUCUUAGAGUCCGGGAGAGGUGAGUGGAACUCCGAGUGUAGAGGUGAAAUUCGUAGAUAUUCGGAAGAACACCAGUGGCGAAGGCGGCUCACUGGCCCGGUACUGACGCUCAGGUGCGAAAGCGUGGGGAGCAAACAGG
rnacentral:rRNA from 1 species